rnacentral:lncRNA from 10 species
UAAAGCUUCCCAUCAACCUUUCACCUAGUGCUUCAUCUAUUGGUGAUCAUGAACUGCUGCAAAAUGGCUGAUUGCAUUUUCCCUGUUGACACGUCCUUGAACAAGGACAAUUCUACAUGACCCUGGCAUUGGCACCUACUCAAACCUUUGAUCUGGAAUGCCACAAAUCUAAGAGAUCUUCUAUCCGGUGACAACAGCUCUUUGCAGACAUUGCAAAGUCCUUUUCUGGUUUAAGCUCUGCCUCUGCCAUGUGUUGUAAUCAGCACAGAAUGACAAGGGGUGAGCAGCAGUGUUAGAACAGAUGUGACACACCUGCAGCCUACCACUGCAGCCUGGCCUUUUUGGAGGAAGUCUUCCCUACUUUCUACCAGCCUGGCAACCUGAACAUAGAACAUGACCACAUGAGUCCAGAAGACCUGAAGAGAAGUGUACAGAUUUGGGUUUUCUUCCCAAAGAAGAAGAGGUGGGCAGGAGAAACUUCUUCCUGCUUGUGGAUGCAGUUGUGCGAGAAUAUAAUUCCCAAAGCAACAACAGCAGCCACUUUGUGACCACGAGGUAACCAACCCAAAUGGAAGCCAAUGUGGU